UACGGAGGAUGCGAGCGUUAUCCGGAUUUAUUGGGUUUAAAGGGAGCGCAGGCUGCGAGGCAAGUCAGCGGUCAAAUGUCGGGGCUCAACCCCGGCCUGCCGUUGAAACUGUCUUGCUAGAGUUCGAGUGAGGUAUGCGGAAUGCGUUGUGUAGCGGUGAAAUGCAUAGAUAUGACGCAGAACUCCGAUUGCGAAGGCGGCAUACCAACUCGCGACUGACGCUGAGGCUCGAAAGCGUGGGUAUCGAACAGG
rnacentral:rRNA from 1 species